AGAGCGAACGCUGGCGGCAGGCCUAACACAUGCAAGUCGAGCGCCCCGCAAGGGGAGCGGCAGACGGGAGAGUAACACGUGGGGACGUACCCUUCAGUUCGGAACAACCCAGGGAAACUUGGGCUAAUACCGGAUACGUCCAUAAGGAGAAAGAUUUAUCGCUGAAGGAUCGGCCCGCGUCUGAUUAGCUAGUUGGUGGGGUAACGGCUCACCAAGGCGACGAUCAGUAGCUGGUCUGAGAGGAUGAUCAGCCUCACUGGGACUGAGACACGGCCCAGACUCCUACGGGAGGCAGCAGUGGGGAAUAUUGGACAAUGGGCGCAAGCCUGAUCCAGCCAUGCCGCGUGGGUGAUGAAGGCCCUAGGGUUGUAAAGCCCUUUCGGCGGGGAAGAUAAUGACGGUACCGCAGAAGAAGCCCCGGCUAACUUCGCGCCAGCAGCCGC
rnacentral:rRNA from 1 species